ensembl:lncRNA
GCUGCUUUAUGCAACAGCUACAGCAGGGAAAACAGUGGAGACUGCACCAUGACCAACAUUAUUACUACUGUGUGCAAUGAACUUGCCACGUGCUUAUCAGCACAGACUAACUCAGACUGAUUGCAAUGUGUUGUCAAUCUGUCUUUACAACAUUACAACUGUUUGCAAACCUUUGCCAGUCUAUCUGAGAAUGAUUGGAGACUUCAAUUGUCUUGCAAUUGAAAGUAGUCGCCAAUAGACAGUCAAGUUCUGGGUCACUAAAGAAGUCUUGCAAACGGUCGAACAAUCAGACUUUUCCUUGGCGUAAGACACAAUUACAGCCAACUCUAGCAUAAUUGGUGGAGACUAAACUAAAAAAAGAACUAUUUUUGAAAGCUCUAGCUCACACCUAACUGCUUAUUAUCAUAGUCUACCAUGAAUCAAUCACUACUACUGAGGACAAUAUACUAAAUUCUUACAUAAAGUAACUAUCAAAGAUUUUCCAAUAAUUCUGUGCUGAAUCCCCUGACUGUCUGAGAAAGAAAAGCCAGCCUUGCAUAUAUCAAAACAGCCAGAGAGAAAUAAAAAAUGGUAAAAAAAAAAAAAAAAGAGAGUAUAGCCGCACUAUGUAGCUACCUGGGAAUAAGCCACACUCCUGGAUUUGAGAGUUUUAUAUGUGCAAUAUACUGUAUGUGACCAAAAUUAAGCAAAGGCAUUCAAAAUAUCCCUUCUGAGCAUCCCAUCUGUCAUGUGGCAGAGACACGUUGCUACAGCUUCUCGCAAAGUUUUUAUUCACCAUGUUUUUAUAUGGCAGGGAACAUGGAAGAAUUUUUAGGAGUUUGUGGGUGGUGCAUGGGAUAUUGAUUAUUCUGCAAGGUGUUGUUCAGGCCCACGUGGCACACUGUGCAGAAUAUUGAUCAUUUUAUUUGCAUGCCACUCCAGAUGUUGGGGAAAGUUUAUUUGAUUUACAGGCGGUAGGAGGUUGGCAGAGUCACUUUCUCAGCAGUUUUGUCUGUACAGGGCACACAUGGCAAACAUGAGCGAAGCAAACAACCCCUACUCGCCCAUAUGGACUCAAACAUUAGUGCUGUCACACAGUGCCAUCUAUUGUAAGGUGCACCAAAAAAACAAAAACAAAAUGCUGACGCACUUCUGUUUGUUUACACGACCUAAGAGGCCCGAGAAAAGUUCAGCUAUAAAAAGUUAAAGAAGCACAUUAUUUCCUACUCAAAAUGGCCUCUGUGAAACCUGGGGGGGAAAGUACAUCACUGCAGUCGGUGGCUUUCUGAGGGAGUUAUUUUAUAAGAAUGGAAAACAAUUCAGCCAAAACACUUUUUAAGUAAUGAUUGUUUUGGAUCUUAUGAUAGCCAGUGCCAGAUUGCAGGUUCUGUAAAUAAGAUAUUUCUGAAAUUCACAAA